GUAGUCCACGCCCUAAACGAUGUUUACUUGCUGCUGGGGUUUAACCUUAGUAGCGUAGCUAACGCGAGAAGUAAACCGCCUGGGGAGUACGGUCGCAAGAUUAAAACUCAAAGGAAUUGACGGGGACCCGCACAAGCGGUGGAUGAUGUGGAUUAAUUCGAUGCAACGCGAAAAACCUUACCUGCUCUUGACAUGCUAGGAAUGCUCCAGAGAUGGAAUAGUGCCCUUCGGGGAACCUAGACACAGGUGCUGCAUGGCUGUCGUCAGCUCGUGUCGUGAGAUGUUGUCUUAAGUGACGCAACGAGCGCAACCCUUGCCAUUAGUUGCCAUCAUUUAGUUGGGCACUUUAAUGGGACUGCUGGUUUUUACCAGA
rnacentral:rRNA from 1 species